CUCCUGUCGGAGGUAGGAUUAGUGUUGUCCUGCUGUGAAUUUCAGCUUGGAUCUGGCCCCUUUCGGCUCGGAGUUCGCGGCCCUUCUUUCCUUACCUUGCCAUAGGUCCUAGGAGCGACGGCCAAAAUGACCCAUUCUCUCGUAGGUGGAGCUUUGCCGCGGCGGCAAGGCCACCAGACUGACGAGGUAUACCCUAUGCUGUGGAUGAACUUAGUACCAAACAGAUUCCACGAAGAUAGCAAGCUACAAUAAAUUUCUCUGCAUUUCUAUUCUGUGUUGUUGGUAAGUUAAAGAUUUAGAGCUGGGAAAACCCUAUACUCUUAACACAUUUUGGCAGAAUGCAUAUAGAUAAACUAGUGAAAAGAAGUAAUUCCAUAGUAGCAGUAAAGGGGCACCUGCCAUAAAAGAGGCAUUUGAUUAGACUCUGACAAGAGCUAAAAUUGGUCAGAAAGAAUUCAUUUCUGUCUCUGGCUUGUGGCCUUUACAGGCAUAGUCCCACAAUGGAGUCUGUUCAAAUAUGUCCAUGGGCAAAUUCCAGGGCAAUCAGUUAGCAGAGAUGAUGGUGGUUCUCUUUUGGACUGUUUAUCCUUUCUCCCUCAAUCUAUUGCCCUGUGUCUUAAUUAAAUAUAUAAUUUCUGUUAUAUGAUAUAUAUUUAUACACUUACAAUACUUGUUUCCCUACCAAUGUUAGGGAAAUUGGGGAGAGGGAGGACAUUACUCACCUUUCUAUAUACCACUUCCAACUAUGCCAUGCUUAAUGCAGUUACCUGGCAUGUUUGAGUUUGCAAGGAACUUAUGUCUGAGCUCAAGCUUAGACGGUAUUCCUAGUUUGUAUUAUUGGCAU